rnacentral:misc_RNA from 1 species
GCAAACUUGGUCAUUUAGAGGAAGUAAAAGUCGUAACAAGGUUUCCGUAGGGUAAGUCAAUCGUUCCUUCCUUGGAGUGACUUUUCAUGGUCGCUCCUUCCUUAUGAAUUUUUAACUAACAUAUCUAUAGUGAACCUGCGGAAGGAUCAUUAGAGGCUAAUAGUGUCCUUAUUUAUAAGGUCACACCUCUCAACCGUGCUUACAAUACCUAUUGUUGCUUCCCAGGUGUAAUCCUGGGGUGUUUUCAUCAAAUGGCAGUUGCGACCUACCUCGCGUCAAAACUGGCAAGUGCGACCCAGAAAUUCAUUUUUGGCAAGUACGACUCAGGUUCUGUCCAGGCAAUGAAUAACAACCUUCUAUUAAAGAAAUGUCUAAAAUAUAUUAAAAUGAAUAAUUAAAAAACUUUCAACAACGGAUCUCUUGGUUCUGGCAUCGAUGAAGAACGCAGC